rnacentral:sRNA from 1 species
AAAAAAUAAAUUAACCUCAAACAAAAGACAAACAUACAACAAAGUAUUGUAAUUUGGAGAAAAAUGUGAAAUAACUACUAAUUACACGAAAUUCAAAAAUAAAGAAAAUCAAUACUGGAAUUCCAACGACUUAAAGAGAAAUAUCCCACGAGAAUUAGAGGAAAAAACAAUGUCAUUUAAUAAAGGGAGAUUUGCAAAACUACCAUUUCUUUACUACCUUUUGCAACAAUACUCUUUUAUGUUGUUCAUUUUUAAAAAUACCCCUUCCUUUGAAUAGAAUUACCAAAUUACCCUCAUCUAAUAGAUCAUGUAAUUGAAAACUGAAAAUUUCCCGUCAAAUUGUUUUUUCGUAACAAUUUUUUUCUCAGCCAAAAAAAUGCAUUUAAAAAUCCUUGUAAAUUUUUUUUGGCAAGAAAUAGAUUUACAAGGGAUUUUAAAAGGGUUUUAAGAGAUUUACAAGGGAUUUUAAAAAAGUUUUAAAAUAUUUACAAAAU